AAAUGCGGAAGAGAUAAGUGCUGAAAGCAUCUAAGCACGAAACUUGCCCCGAGAUGAGUUCUCCCUGACUCCUUGAGAGUCCUGAAGGAACGUUGAAGACGACGACGUUGAUAGGCCGGGUGUGUAAGCGCAGCGAUGCGUUGAGCUAACCGGUACUAAUGAACCGUGAGGCUUAACCUUACAACGCCGAAG
rnacentral:rRNA from 1 species